ACUGCAAGUAGAGUUCAUGUGAUCGAUUUCGGUCUAAAGCAAGGGAUGCAGUGGCCGGCACUCAUGCAAGCUCUUGCUUUACGCCCAGGUGGGCCGCCGGCUUUUCGGUUAACCGGAAUUGGUCCACCGCAGCCUAACAACACGGACACUUUACAGCAAGUGGGUUGGAAGCUAGCGCAGUUAGCCGGGACUAUUGGCGUCGAAUUUGAAUUCCGCGGUUUUGUAGCCAACAGUUUAGCGGAUCUCCAGCCGGAAAUGCUCGACCUCCGGCCCCCGGAGGAGGAGACAGUCGCUGUUAAUUCCGUAUUCGAGCUUCACCGCCUCCUGGCUCGACCCGG
rnacentral:misc_RNA from 1 species